UACGGGGGGGGGCAAGCGUUGUUCGGAAUUACUGGGCGUAAAGGGCUUGUAGGUGGCCAACUAAGUCAGACGUGAAAUCCCUCGGCUUAACCGGGGAACUGCGUCUGAUACUGGAUGGCUUGAGUUUGGGAGAGGGACGCGGAAUUCCAGGUGUAGCGGUGAAAUGCGUAGAUAUCUGGAGGAACACCGGUGGCGAAGGCGGCGUCCUGGACCAACACUGACACUGAGGAGCGAAAGCCAGGGGAGCAAACGGG
rnacentral:rRNA from 1 species